AUUGAACGCUGGCGGCAGGCUUUACACAUGCAAGUCGAACGAGUGGCGAACGGGUGAGUAACGCAUCGGAAAGUACCGAGUAUUGGGGGAUAACUGUCCGAAACGACAGCUAAUCCCACAUAUCAUUCGAGCGGCCGAUGUGUGAUUAGCUGGUUGGCGGGGUAAAGGCCCACCAAGGGGACGAUCAGUAGCGGGCCAGCGAGGAUGAUCAGCGACACUGGGACUGUGACACGGGCAAGACUCCUACGGGAGGCAGCAGUGGGGAAGGUGGGACAAUGGGCGAAAGCCUGAUCCAGCCAUGCCGCGUGUCUGAAGAAGGCCUUGGGGGUGUAAAGGACUUUAGGCGACGAGGCGUUAAUCACAGAAGAAGCACCGGCUAACUCCGUGCCAGCAGCCGCGGUAAUAC
rnacentral:rRNA from 1 species